UACGUAGGGGGCGAGCGUUAUCCGGAUUCACUGGGUGUAAAGGGAGCGUAGACGGCCAAGCAAGCCAGGGGUGAAAGCCCAGGGCCCAACCCCGGGACUGCCCUUGGAACUGCAUGGCUGGAGUGCGGGAGGGGCAGGCGGAAUUCCUGGUGUAGCGGUGAAAUGCGUAGAUAUCAGGAGGAACACCGGCGGCGAAGGCGGCCUGCUGGACCGCGACUGACGUUGAGGCUCGAAAGCGUGGGGAGCGAACAGG
rnacentral:rRNA from 1 species